rnacentral:sRNA from 1 species
AUACAGGCUGUCCUAGACUUCCUUGUGGCUGAAGUAGCUGGUUAUGUUUUUGUUCUGAAUCUCAAACAUUAAUCUCUUUUAUUAAAAUCCUCUAAAAUACAGUCAUUUUUUCCAUGAAAUAGACCACAAGUUGCUGUGUUUCUUAUUUUCAGAAAUUUAACUUGUUUUUAACCUUUAUUUCUAACUCUGGUGGACUUAGAGGACAUUUGAAUUUAAUCUUGCAAUGUUUGAAGCUUGUGGGAGUAAAAUGUUUAGAAUCUGUGUUUUUAGCACUAACUCUGAUGUUAACACCACCUGCAUCUUUUCCUAGUAAAUGGGGAGCAGGAGAACCGAGUGCAGAAGGGAAAUGGAUAUUUUCAAGUGCCCCCACAUACACCCGUGAUCUUUGGUGAAGCUGGAGGUCGCACACUGUUCAGGCUGCUCUGCCGAGAUUCCGGGGGUGAGACUGAGUCUAUGCUUCUUAAUGAAACAGUGCCACAAUGGGUAAUUGACAUCACUGUGGAUAAAAAUAUGCCCAAAUUCAACAAAAUUCCUUUCUACCUCCAACCUCAUGCAUCUUCAGGAGCAAAAACCU